GACGAACGCUGGCGGCGUGCUUAACACAUGCAAGUCGAACGGAAAGGCCUCUUUCGGGGGGUACUCGAGUGGCGAACGGGUGAGUAACACGUGAGUAACCUGCCCUUGACUUUGGGAUAACUUCAGGAAACUGGGGCUAAUACCGGAUAGGAGCUCCUGCUGCAUGGUGGGGGUUGGAAAGUUUCGGCGGUUGGGGAUGGACUCGCGGCUUAUCAGCUUGUUGGUGGGGUAGUGGCUUACCAAGGCUUUGACGGGUAGCCGGCCUGAGAGGGUGACCGGCCAAAUGGGGACUGAGAUACGGCCCAGACUCCUACGGGAGGCAGCAGUGGGGAAUAUUGCACAAUGGGGGGAAGCCUGAUGCAGCAACGCCGUGUGCGGGAUGACGGCCUUCGGGUUGUAACCCGCUUUCGCCAAUGACGAAGCUUUGGGGGACGGUAGUGGGUAAAGAAGCACCGGCUAACUCCGG
rnacentral:rRNA from 1 species